UACGUAGGGUGCAAGCGUUAAUCGGAAUUACUGGGCGUAAAGCGUGCGCAGGCGGCUUUGCAAGACAGAUGUGAAAUCCCCGGGCUUAACCUGGGAACUGCAUUUGUGACUGCAUGGCUAGAGUGCGGCAGAGGGGGAUGGAAUUCCGCGUGUAGCAGUGAAAUGCGUAGAUAUGCGGAGGAACACCAAUGGCGAAGGCAGCACUCUGGGACGUGACUGACGCUGAGACGCGAAAGCGUGGGGAGCAAACAGG
rnacentral:rRNA from 1 species